rnacentral:rRNA from 1 species
GACGAACGCUGGCGGCGUGCUUAACACAUGCAAGUCGAACGGAAAGGCCCUGCUUUUGUGGGGUGCUCGAGUGGCGAACGGGUGAGUAACACGUGAGUAACCUGCCCUUGACUUUGGGAUAACUUCAGGCAACUGGGGCUAAUACCGGAUAGGAGCUCCUGCUGCAUGGUGGGGGUUGGAAAGUUUCGGCGGUUGGGGAUGGACUCGCGGCUUAUCAGCUUGUUGGUGGGGUAGUGGCUUACCAAGGCUUUGACGGGUAGCCGGCCUGGGAGGGUGACCGGCCAAAUUGGGACUGGGAUACGGCCCAGACUCCUACGGGAGGCAGCAGUGGGGAAGAUUGCACAAUGGGCGGAAGCCUGAUGCAGCAACGCCGCGUGCGGGAUGACGGGCUUCGGGUUGUAAACCGCUUUCGCCUGUGACGAAGCGUGAGUGACGGUAAUGGGUAAAGAAGCACCGGCUAACUACGUG